UCGAAGCCAGAUCGUGAGGACUGGUGGAGCGCUUAGAAGUGAGAAUGCCGGUAUGAGUAGCGCAAGACGGGUGAGAAUCCCGUCCACCGAAUAACUAAGGUUUCCUGGGGAAGGCUCGUCCUCCCAGGGUUAGUCGGGACCUAAGCUGAGGCCGAUAGGCGUAGGCGAUGGACAACAGGUUGAUAUUCCUGUACCAGUUGCUUUUGUUUGAGCGAUGGAGGGACGCAGGAGGCUAAGGAAUGCACACGAUCGGAAAUGUGUGUCCAAGCAGCAAGUCUGAGAACGAGUGAAAUGCUUUUUCUCUCAAGGACAAGCUGUGAUGGGGAGCGAAUUUAGUAGCGAAGUUCCUGAUGUCACACUGCCAAGAGAAGCUUCUAGUGAGAAAGUAACUGCCCGUACCGCAAACCGACACAGGUAGUUGAGGAGAGAAUCCUAAGGUGUGCGAGAGAACUCUCGUUAAGGAACUCGGCAAAAUGACCCCGUAACUUCGGGAGAAGGGGUGCUGACCGCAAGGUCAGCCGCAGUGAAUAGGCCCAAGCGACUGUUUAUCAAAAACACAGGUCUCUGCAAAAUCGAAAGAUGACGUAUAGGGGCUGACGCCUGCCCGGUGCUGGAAGGUUAAGAGGAGAGGUUAGCGCAAGCGAAGCUUUGAAUUGAAGCCCCAGUAAACGGCGGCCGUAACGAUAACGGUCCUAAGGUAGCGAAAUUCCUUGUCGGGUAAGUUCCGACCCGCACGAAAGGCGUAACGAUUUGGGCACUGUCUCAACGAGAGACUCGGUGAAAUUAUAGUACCAGUGAAGAUGCUGGUUACCCGCGACAGGACGGAAAGACCCCAUGGAGCUUUACUGCAGUUUGAUAUUGCGUGUUUGUAUCACAUGUACAGGAUAGGUAGGAGCCGAAGAUACCGGGACGCCAGUCUCGGAGGAGGCAACGGUGGGAUACUACCCUUGUGAUAUGACCACUCUAACCCGCUGCUCUUAGCGAGCAGGGAGACAGUGUCAGACGGGCAGUUUGACUGGGGCGGUCGCCUCCAAAAAUGUAACGGAGGCGCCCAAAGGUUCCCUCAGAAUGGUUGGAAAUCAUUCGUAGAGUGUAAAGGCAGAAGGGAGCUUGACUGCGAGACCUACAAGUCGAGCAGGGACGAAAGUCGGGCUUAGUGAUCCGGUGGUUCCGCAUGGAAGGGCCAUCGCUCAACGGAUAAAAGCUACCCUGGGGAUAACAGGCUUAUCUCCCCCAAGAGUUCACAUCGACGGGGAGGUUUGGCACCUCGAUGUCGGCUCAUCGCAUCCUGGGGCUGUAGUCGGUCCCAAGGGUUGGGCUGUUCGCCCAUUAAAGCGGUACGCGAGCUGGGUUCAGAACGUCGUGAGACAGUUCGGUCCCUAUCCGUCGCGGGCGUUGGAAAUUUGAGAGGAGCUGUCCUUAGUACGAGAGGACCGGGAUGGACACACCGCUGGUGUACCAGUUGUUCUGCCAAGAGCAUCGCUGGGUAGCUAUGUGUGGACGGGAUAAACGCUGAAAGCAUCUAAGCGUGAAGCCCCCCUCAAGAUGAGAUUUCCCAUCACUUUAAGUGAGUAAGACCCCUGAGAGAUGAUCAGGUAGAUAGGUUGGGAGUGGAAGUACAGCGAUGUAUGGAGCGGACCAAUACUAAUCGGUCGAGGACUUAACC
rnacentral:rRNA from 1 species